rnacentral:lncRNA from 1 species
AAAAUAAAAUAAAAAGCAAAAUAUACUGAUUAUAAUGAUGACCUCAUAAUUUGAAUAUCAACUAUGGUUGUUUUCUUAUUCUCACAGCUUUGCAAUUUUGAGACUGUGUAGGCCUAAUAUAAACAGAUGAGAGGGAUGAUCACCUCAAUGAGAAGAAAGAAGAAAAAGAUGGAGGUUUAAUAAGAGAUGGUCUCCUCUGAAUUUCCUAAAUGUACUACAUUUCUCAAGUCCAUCUUGGUAAAGUAUUAGAAAGCUGCAUGAUUUUUGAAUUAGACCCUAACAACGUUGGCUUGAAUAUACAUUGAGAUCAUUCAAAGAGUUGUGGCUUCCAGUUUUUAGCUGCGAAUUUCCAAUGAAGAUUAUAUGAGAUUGACAUGCUCCCUGCUGCACCAAGAAGAUUCUGGCACCACAAACAUUAUUAUAGGAGUGAGAAAAGAAGAUGUGGACAGAGAGAAAGAAGCUACGCCUCUGUUCACGCGAAAUCCUCUUGCAAACUGCUCAUGUUCUACCUCCAUCUCACUGACCUUAGAAUGAAGGAUGAAACCACGCCUUCCUCGCCCCUCCGUCUUGUAGCCUGUGGUAGCUAGAAAUCUAUCUGCGGUUUCAGUGGCCUAGCAACCUUGACCCGUCCUCCCAGAGCCUCCAGCUCUCCCUAACAGCUGUACUUCUGUAAUCUCACCUGGCAUUUCCUGACAAUGAGAAGUUGCCCCAUAGAAAAGAAACAAUAUAAAAGUGAAAGCAGAGCCUACUUCGGGGCUUUUAGGAUGCGAAUCCCUUGCAGAGCUAAGGGCAAUAAAGUCACUUCUUGAACCUCUUCUGUGUCUGAGUGCUGUGUCCAGGAUCCCCC